AAAAUUGAUACGUCGGAAAGGCAAGAAAAAUGCUGUGAAAGUUGUCAGUUUUAUAAUGGGACCCUAUGGGAAUCGGAAUUAGUGUAAUAUAACCUUUAAAAAGCACAUUUACUGCAAUGUCAAGGUCACAUGGAUUCGUCUGCAAGCGAGACAAGUAGAAAAUGAAUUUUAAUGAAUGUUUUGAUGAUUUGGGUGCUAAAAUAGAUGAGAGAUGUCAAUAUUUUGGUCCAAAUGGAUGUUUUAGGUGGUUUUGGACUGUUCCGGAUGGGUGGGGGACCUGGUAUGGACAAGCCUGACCGUUUGUCCUUGAGCCGUAGUUGGUUAACAAUCCGCUAGCUGUCUUGCUCUGACUGGUGCACUGGACAUGAUUUCAAUAGUCAGCCAGACCAUGAUUGAGCUUAAGGAUUGUGCUGCGGAUGCAGCCUGUGCAGUUCCGGGAGAAAGUCACUGUCUUGGGCAAUGCGGUCUGGUAUCAGGUCUGGAUGAUCCUUGCCUGACUGCGGGUUUGUGUACACCUCAAUCCGACUCUGUGUCCUGAACAGAGGCCGCAGUGGUGCAGCGCUUGUGGACGAUCCAUCAACAUCCUGAAAGGUCAACACUACACCAAGCUGGGAAAACUGAUCCUGAUAGUCAUCCCCAGGCCUGACCGUUUGUCCUUGAGCCGUAGUUGGUUAACAAUCCGCUAGCUGUCUUGCUCUGACUGGUGCACUGGACAUGAUUUCAAUAGUCAGCCAGACCAUGAUUGAGCUUAAGGAUUGUGCUGCGGAUGCAGCCUGUGCAGUUCCGGGAGAAAGUCACUGUCUUGGGCAAUGCGGUCUGGUAUCAGGUCUGGAUGAUCCUUGCCUGACUGCGGGUUUGUGUACACCUCAAUCCGACUCUGUGUCCUGAACAGAGGCCGCAGUGGUGCAGCGCUUGUGGACGAUCCAUCAACAUCCUGAAAGGUCAACACUACACCAAGCUGGGAAAACUGAUCCUGAUAGUCAUCCCCAGGCCUGACCGUUUGUCCUUGAGCCGUAGUUGGUUAACAAUCCGCUAGCUGUCUUGCUCUGACUGGUGCACUGGACAUGAUUUCAAUAGUCAGCCAGACCAUGAUUGAGCUUAAGGAUUGUGCUGCGGAUGCAGCCUGUGCAGUUCCGGGAGAAAGUCACUGUCUUGGGCAAUGCGGUCUGGUAUCAGGUCUGGAUGAUCCUUGCCUGACUGCGGGUUUGUGUACACCUCAAUCCGACUCUGUGUCCUGAACAGAGGCCGCAGUGGUGCAGCGCUUGUGGACGAUCCAUCAACAUCCUGAAAGGUCAACACUACACCAAGCUGGGAAAACUGAUCCUGAUAGUCAUCCCCAGGCCUGACCGUUUGUCCUUGAGCCGUAGUUGGUUAACAAUCCGCUAGCUGUCUUGCUCUGACUGGUGCACUGGACAUGAUUUCAAUAGUCAGCCAGACCAUGAUUGAGCUUAAGGAUUGUGCUGCGGAUGCAGCCUGUGCAGUUCCGGGAGAAAGUCACUGUCUUGGGCAAUGCGGUCUGGUAUCAGGUCUGGAUGAUCCUUGCCUGACUGCGGGUUUGUGUACACCUCAAUCCGACUCUGUGUCCUGAACAGAGGCCGCAGUGGUGCAGCGCUUGUGGACGAUCCAUCAACAUCCUGAAAGGUCAACACUACACCAAGCUGGGAAAACUGAUCCUGAUAGUCAUCCCCAGGUAGUGGAAUGAAUGUACACUGAACUACAGAGGAAUCACACCCAAAUGACUUUCCUGCCACGACAUUAGUGUGGCCACUCGCGUAGGAAUUCCUUAGCAAACGUGCUCUUUUGCAUGGUGACUGUGGGCAUUUUUGCAAA